ensembl:misc_RNA Metazoa_SRP Metazoan signal recognition particle RNA
GCUGGGCAUGGUGUCUCAUGCCUGUGGUCCCAGCUACACAGGAGGCUGAGGCAGGAGGAUCACUUGAGCCCAGGAGGUUGAGGCUGCAGUGAGCCAUAUUCAUGCCACUGGACUGCAGCCUGGGCAACACAGGGAGACCCUGUCUCAA